CUCAGGCCUCUAUUGCCUGGGGAUUCGAUUGGAUUGGAGCUGUAAAGACUUGUGUUCCAUGGGGCUGGUCCCAGGGGUAAAUUGAUGGGAGGCAGGACCCUCAUUCAGGCCCGGCAGGGGGCUUCAAUCGCAGGCCUGCCCUAGCCUUUGGGCUGCCCUGCUUCUGGCUGAAGAGGACCCAGCAGGAAAUGCUAUUCCAGUGGAGCUGCACCAGACAAAGUUCUCCAC
rnacentral:lncRNA from 1 species